rnacentral:sRNA from 1 species
GCCUGACACUCAAGGCCAUCCUGAACCCAUGGACUCCAGGACCUUGCGGGGAGGGAGACCCUCGCUCGUGCUGGGCCCUGCAUUUCCCGGUGGGGGCUGAGGGUCCCGCAGGCCUGGCCUGGUGGGGCAGAGCCUGUGGCUUCAGGAGCAGCUGUCUCAGCUGCUGGUCUCCCACGGUGACACAGUCACGGCCGCCCAGUGUGCCAUGGACCUCUCGCUGCCCGAGGAGCGGCUGCCGGCUGCAGUGGCUGUGGAACUCCGCCGGCUCAGGCUCCAGGGGAGUGCCACCAAGUGGUUGGUGUAGACCUGGAGUGGACACCUGUGUUUGUUGCUGGGGGCCGGCCUCGGCCAUCACUCCUGCAGGUGGCCGUGGAGGGCCACGUGUUCCUUCUGGACGUCCUGGCACUCUCACAGCCACCAACAGGGCAGGGAGCCCAGGCCUUUUCCCGGCUGGUGGCCCAGCUCCUCUCGGACCCCUCUAUCACCAAGCUGGGCUACGGGAUGGUGGGGGACCUGCAGAAACUGGGCACGUCGUGCCCCGCCCUGGCCCAUGUGGAGAAGCAGAUUCUGGGCGGCAUGGACCUGCUGCUGGUGCACAGACAGAUGCGGGUGGCGAACAUGCCAGCCCCAGGCGUGGACAGGGCCAGGGAGCUGAGGGGCCUGAGCCUCCUGGUGCAACAGGUGCUGGGCACAGCCCUGGACAAGACGCAGCAGCUGUCCAACCUGGACCGGAGGCCGCUCUGCGAGGAGCAGC